AGAGUUUGAUCCUGGCUCAGAGCUAACGUUGGCGGCGUGCCUAACACAUGCAAGUCGAACGCGUCCUGGGGGCAGCCCUAGGAUGAGUGGCAGACGGGUGAGUAACACGUGGGUCAUCUUCCCUCGAGUGUGGAAUAAGCUCCCGAAAGGGGGUCUAAUACCGCAUAACGCCCCGGGACAUAAGUUGUCGGGGUCAAAGCCGCAAGGCGCUUGAGGAUGAGCCUGCGUCCUAUUAGCUAGUUGGUAGGGUAAUGGCCUACCAAGGCGAAGAUGGGUAGCCGGCCUGAGAGGGUGAACGGCCACACUGGGACUGAGACACGGCCCAGACUCCUACGGGAGGCAGCAGUGAGGAAUUUUGCGCAAUGGGGGAAACCCUGACGCAGCGACGCCGCGUGGAGGAUGAAGGCCUUCGGGUCGUAAACUCCUGUCAGAGGUGAAGAAUGCCCGCAAGGGUUUGACGGUAACCUCAAAGGAAGCCCCGGCCAACUACGUGCCAGCAGCCGCGGUAAUACGUAGGGGGCAAACGUUGCUCGGAAUUACUGGGCGUAAAGGGUGUGUAGGCCGCUGAGCAAGUCAAAGAUGAAAUCCCGAGGCUUAACUUCGGAACUGUUUUUGAAACUGCUUAGCUUGAGGAUAGUUGAGGAGAAUGGAAUUCCCGGUGGAGCGGUGAAAUGCGUAGAUAUCGGGAGGAACACCUGAGCGAAAGCGAUUCUCCAAGCUACUCCUGACGCUGAAACACGAAAGCUAGGGGAGCGAACGGGAUUAGAUACCCCGGUAGUCCUAGCCGUAAACGAUGGACGCUAGAUAUUCCUGCGCUUAUGUGGGAGUGUCGAAGCUAACGCGUUAAGCGUCCCGCCUGGGGAGUACGUCGCAAGCUGAAACUCAAAGGAAUUGACGA
rnacentral:rRNA from 1 species